AGAAUCUGGCACAGGGAAAAUGAUACUUAACUUUGACUUAUGCACCAAGUGCUUAAAUGUUGCAAAAAAUCUUGUAUUUUUAAUGUUUCUGGGAGGGAAGGGGUGUCUUAUUUAGGAACUGGCUCCCAGCUCACUUAUUGAUGUCAUUUGAUUCAUUUUAGAAAUAAAAGCAGAUGAAAAUCUGAGUCUCUGAAGAUUUAAAUAUUGUCAGUCCGAAAGAAAGCUAAAUUGUUUUCAUGGGUCAACAGAGAGGCUGUUCUCACAAUUCAUUCAUUCAUUUACUGCUGAAUAAUGUGCUACCUCAGUUCCAAGAUUAAACAACUGGUGGUGAUAACUUCUUGUCAGGGUUUGUGUCAGUAUGUCAAGGCUUAUGUAGAACACGGGAAGGCUUGUAAUUGAAGUUGAGGCAGGUGAGCCAGUGUUCUACAGGCUGCAAAUACAGAUAAUCAAGUCAGUAUAAAAUGGGGAUUGCAGUUUCCAAAACAAAUGUCCUGAUUGUUAUUUAGUCACCUGGACAAGUAGUGACACUUUCCAAAAUGCUCCAUAAUAAGCAUUUAUUUUGCAGUCAAUGGGAGCUCCAGUUGCCUAGCACUGAAGCUUUUGCUGUUUAAUUAUGAGCCUCUGAUUUAAGUCCUGUUUUGAAAUCUUGGGACGUGAAUGAAUGGGAAGAUGGACUAAUGCAAGAGCGUUACCACUGGACUCAGAUACAGAGUAGCAAAUUACUUUGAAAUAUCUAAUAGAAAUUAAUUGGGGUUUUAGACAUGUUUUUUGUUAGUGGUUUAGGAGGAAGGAAAAGAUGGUUAUUUGUCACACAAAGAAGGAAGAAGUUCUAAGCACAGAGAGCAAACAAAGCAAGGCCAAAGGAAAAAAGCAAGGGAAGGUUAUUUGGGCAAAGUAGCACGGAAAAAAGUAUUAACGGUGGAAGGAAUGGCAGUGGUAAAUGUCCAUGGAGGCUGCACUGAAUAGGAGGCUGGGAACACUGAACCUGAUACAGAGGCCAGCAAGAAUUUUCAGAGUCAGUACUGAUAGAGUUGGUCAUUUAUUUCCCUACAAAUGCUUUGGAAAUAAAUUGAAUUAUAUUGUUCUUAAAUUGAAGCUAAGAACAAUGUGUGUGGUGUUAUACACUAUGCAAUUUUUUUUUCCUGGAUUGUACAUUGGAGAGGGGGAAAGGAAAGAGGUGAUCACUCGUAAGGUCUGCCCGUUCCGUUAAAAUCUAGAGCCCUGGAAAACAAGCUGGCAAGGGAGUAAGCUAUUCUCCUUAAAAACUGAAGUUAGGUAUAUCAAGCAUUUUCUUUUAUAUUUCCUCAUAUUGCAGAAGACUUCUUUCGGCAUAACAGACAAUUUACUCAGCUUGCAUCUUGCUGAUUUCUACGCAUUUUUGUAAUGAAAAUUUGUGCUGUCACAUGUCUGUCAACAAGUGGAAGCAACAACUUCUGUUUCUCUUGACCAAGCUAAAUAGAGCUUGAUGUGUUUUUUCCUUUUAAUAUACACUAUUAGAGCAAUCCUGCUAGGCUCCAGAUCACUUUUAUUUGGAAUCCCUGUCUUGCUUAUAUGUAAAUAUCAUCAAAGAGAUACUGCCAUGCUGCCAGCACAUCAACUUCUCUCACCACAGUCAGGGUCUUGCCAUUACAGAGUGUUAGAAAAAGCCCCCUUACCAGUGCUGCUUUGUCGCUGUGGAGUGGCAAGGGGGAAACAUAUUUCACUGAGUAAUUAUGCAGGGAGUGGAUAUUUGGAAGAGAUUGGUUUGCUUACAAAACUGACUUGGAGCAAUGCAGUAACCGUGUGAUGUUAGUGCCAUUUUUACCUGGAUACACACACUGAAACACACGAGUGUGUUGUGCUUUAUUAAUUUUGUUAUAGCAAUUUAUGGAGUCAAUGAAUCUUGAAGGAGGAAAUCUUCCAAACUUGCUUCUGUUGGAGACAGCUGACUUGGCUGGGCAAAUUUUAUGGAACAGUUCCAUCAGUUAGUUUUUACAUGAUAAGGACAUUACCCUGGUGUCAUAGCUAUUUUGCAAGCCUGUAAUUGCCUUCUAUGACCCUGAAAUUUCUCCUGCCAUUUCAGCAGGAGAGGAUGUUUUUAUUCCUUUUCUCGUGCCUGCAAUGUGGUGCUGCCAGCACUAGCGGCUGCUGUGUUUUGCCCUAGAAACAGUUAUCUUUUGCUUGUGGAUGGGCUAGACUGUUUAAAGAGAAUACAUGAGAAUUAAGGCAUUAAUCCUACUGACAUGGUAAAUUACUCAAAGUUUUUCUGCCUUUCACUUUUUUGGAAGGAACUGAGACAUGGACAAGCUUCUAGCAAGUGCCAACCUCAUCAAACAAGCAAAGUCUUCCAAGUCCAAACAGGAGGGAGUGAGCGAGCAGCUGCGUGGUGCUUGGUUGCUGACUGGGGCUAAACCAUGACAGCUGAUAAAGAAGCCGUGAUAAUCCAAGGAAGGGGAACAACGGAUAAAACAAGAAUAAGCAGGCUAAUGAAUCUCUGAAGUUUAAAGGUGUAAGAAUGAAGACAAUUAUUAGCUGGGCCAUUACUGAAAAUUAAGGCUCUGUGUGUAGCAAAAUCAAGGAAACGCAGUGUUUUAAAGCUAAUUACAAUUCCUGAGAGCUGUAAAUAUUAUUCUAAGCUAAAAAUAACUGUGUGAUGAUGCAGUCAAUGCCUAUUCAAGCUUUAGGGUUUGAAAAACAAACUGCUUGUGAUCUCUUCUGGCCACUAGCCUGGCAAACAUAUGGAAUACAAAUGGAGCAAGGUUGUUUUGUUUUUUUUUCCUGUGGUUUACAUACAAACUCACUGGCAGAAGCAGCAGGCAAAGCCAAGAGUAGAAAACUGGCCGAAAGAAGAGCAUGUUCAGUUCUGCAGCAUGGCUGGUUUAACAGAAAAGCUGCUGCCAACCAAGAGACUGAGCUAGAAAGCCUUAACUUUUCCAAACUCAUAAGGUAUGUGGAAACACUGUGAAAAUUAUUAGUUUUUUGAGUAGAGGCUCUUCAAAGUUUGGUUGUUUUUUUUUUUUUAAAUAAGAAAUGUCUCGAAUACCAGUGCUGAACCUCUUCCAAGUGUGAAUUUAAAAAUGUUUUUCUUGUAAAAUGCUGUUCUUUGAUGUGACCAGUGAAUUCCACUGUGACCUGGAAAAUUAAAAUUUUCUAUUAGUUGCA